CCUCACACGCGUCCAUGAAAGACAUGCGGGAGAGCACACGUCGCGUUUCAGCCUGGGUGAGCACCGGAUCCAUGCUUCUCCUGUCCAAGGAGAAGUCAGAAUAGAUAAUAAUUUAAUAAUAAAAGUUUUUUGUAAAAAAAAAUCAAACUAGCUCGUUGUACGGUGUCUGCAGGGCCGACCAUUUCUCUGAUGGUCCCCCCCCCUUCUGAUCUUUGUGACCUGAAGCUUUGACUGCUCCCCCC
rnacentral:lncRNA from 1 species